rnacentral:rRNA from 1 species
CCUACGGGAGGCUGCAGCGACGAAUCUUCCGCAAUGGGCGCAAGCCUGACGGAGCAAUGCCGCGUGCAGGAUGAAGCGGCUACGCCGUGUAAACUGCUGUCAGGUUCUAAAAUCAAUGAUUGGGACCAAAGGAAGGGCCGGCUAAACUCGUGCCAGCAGCCGCGGUAAUACGAGUGGCCCGAGCGUUAAUCGGAAUCACUGGGCUUAAAGGGUGCGCAGGCGGAUGUCCAAGUGUUUAGUGAAAUCCCCCGGCUCAACCGGGGAAUAGCUGGGCAAACUGGAUGUCUUGAGGCAGGUAGAGGCAGACGGAACUGUCGGUGGAGCGGUGAAAUGCAUUGAGAUCGACGGGAACGCCAAAGGUGAAGACAGUCUGCUGGGCCUGUUCUGACGCUCAGGCACGAAAGCGUGGGGAGCAAACAGGAUUAGAUACCCCUGUAGUC